rnacentral:rRNA from 1 species
GGAGGUCCUGUGAUCUUGUAUUGCGGCGUAAGCGCGCGUAGGCGGUUUCUUAAGUCUGAUGUGAAAGCCCACGGCUCAACCGUGGAGGGUCAUUGGAAACUGGGAAACUUGAGUGCAGAAGAGGAGAGUGGAAUUCCAUGUGUAGCGGUGAAAUGCGCAGAGAUAUGGAGGAACACCAGUGGCGAAGGCGGCUCUCUGGUCUGUAACUGACGCUGAUGUGCGAAAGCGUGGGGAUCAAACAGGAUUAGAUACCCUGGUAGUCCACGCCGUAAACGAUGAGUGCUAAGUGUUAGGGGGUUUCCGCCCCUUAGUGCUGCAGCUAACGCAUUAAGCACUCCGCCUGGGGAGUACGACCGCAAGGUUGAAACUCAAAGGAAUUGACGGGGACCCGCACAAGCGGUGGAGCAUGU